CCUUGUAUAAUGUCCCCCCUCUGAAAGUAACCUUACUGGCCACUCUUUUCCUUCCAGAUUCUUCAUGCUCAUUGUUCUUCCUGCAGUCAAUCUGAUCAAUCGUGCAAAUUCCAACGGAAACCGCUGAUGCAAACAAAAGUAUAACCUUCGUAAAGCAAGGAUCCCCAGCAUCCCCAUCAAUAUCAUCAUCUUCUUCUUCAUCAUCAUGAAUGUGAUCAUGUUCAAGCGGGAAUUUUUUUUCACACCCAUUGGUACCGAAAAUUAAGAACUUGAAGAUGGAGCGACCAAGGAGCCAAAAGACAAUAAAAUCCCCAAACUCCAACCGGGUAUCUUCAAUUACCUGUUUCCAUCCAUCAGCAAAGCAGGAUGUUGUUCUCCAAGUGCUUGCGGACAAAACCAGUUGGCAAUGGCUGCAAUAAACAAUAAUAAAAAAUUAAUGCUAAUGCUAAUGCUAAUGCAUGAUAUGAUGCGAAAAUUACGAGAGACGAAAAUUGAAAUGGGGUCGUUGGUUGAAGUAGAUGAGUACCAGAU